rnacentral:rRNA from 1 species
UCCACCCGUUCCCAUCCCGAACACGGCAGUUAAGCUCACUUGCGCCGAAAAUACUUGGCUGGCGACGGCCUGGGAAGAUAGGUAAUGCCGACA